AGUUGUGAAGUUGAUGUAACAUGUCUUCUUAAGAAACAAUGUGAUGGUCUACAUGAGUGUAAUAUAACUGUGGAUGACAAUUUGUUCUCUGGCGAUCUAUGUGCUGGAUUGUCAAACUAUCUUUACUUUGAAUAUCAAUGUAUUGAUACUGUGAAACCUUUCAAAGAACUUUGUGGUAUGCAUGGGUAUAACUAUGGUUCUAUUGAUGGUUACAACUUGUAGUUUCAAUCAACUUGUCUUAAGAGCUGUGUACAAGACAGGUUCCAAUAGUGUUUAAAAAUGUUCAACCCCGACUUAGCACGCACUUGUCAUGUGCAUAUUACCCACGUAUAGAAAUAAUAUCCAUUAUAGCCUUACAUGUCAAAAUAACCAAUAACUUUGUUCUUUUCGUGUUUUUGUAGUUCAUGAUGUGUCUCUAUCAUAUUCAUCUCUGCCUUACGAAGGUGUUGUACAAAUUACCACUGAUAGUGGGACCAAGAAUGUUUGCUCGCAAAGUUUACAAAAUUACAUGGCCAUGUCUACUGUUUGUCGUCACCUGGGAUACGAUGGCGGGUACUUUCUUGUUGGUAGACCCACUCCAACGGAUGAAAAAAUGCAACAUUUUCCGGAAGUAUAAACUGUAAU